CUCACCCUGGCCCCCACACUCACCCUGGCCCCCACACUCUCCUGAGUAUUUCACCGGUCCACUCACAGGGGCCCUCCAGAUGUCAGCCUCUGCACCAGCUUCGAGGACACCAACCAUGAAAGGUCGAGAAGGCCAACGGACUCAUCAAACGACAGCUCCCCAAGCUCGCCAUUGAACUCAGAAACUUGUCUUCUUUGCUUCCUCAAGAAACAGAUGGAUGACAAUUAACUGGAUGUUCCUCCACUCACACCUCCUGCUGAAUAGUGCCAGAAGUACAGGUGUGAGCCGCCGUUCCAAGUUGGCCCCUUGGGUUUCUGUCUCCUCAACCACCGAGGAGCCUGAACAACACAAUCCUUGGCCGACCUCCCUCAGGAGAGUCUGUGCUUCUUCUCCAAGGCGAAAAGAAUUUUCACUACUGGUCAUGCGCUAACGUGCUUGUGGUCUGAGUGUUUGUGCACCCACCCCACCCCCCUUCGACCCCCAACUUCACACGCUGGAUGCUGCAAGUG